CCUACGGGUGGCAGCAGUGAGGAAUAUUGGUCAAUGGACGAGAGUCUGAACCAGCCAAGUAGCGUGAAGGAUGACUGCCCUAUGGGUUGUAAACUUCUUUUAUAUGGGAAUAAAAUGUUCCACGUGUGGGAUUUUGUAUGUACCAUAUGAAUAAGGAUCGGCUAACUCCGUGCCAGCAGCCGCGGUAAUACGGAGGAUCCGAGCGUUAUCCGGAUUUAUUGGGUUUAAAGGGAGCGUAGGUGGAUUGUUAAGUCAGUUGUGAAAGUUUGCGGCUCAACCGUAAAAUUGAAGUUGAAACUGGCAGUCUUGAGUACAGUAGAGGUGGGCGGAAUUCGUGGUGUAGGGGUGAAAUGCUUAGAUAUCACGAAGAAAUCCGAUUGCGAAGGCAGUUCACUGGACUGCAACUGACACUGAGGCUCGAAAGUGUGGGUAUCAAACAGGAUUAGAUACCCUUGUAGUC
rnacentral:rRNA from 1 species